GCAGACAGCUCAGUUGGUUAGAGAGUGGUGCUGAUAACGCCAAGGUUGCAGGUUCGAACAACUGCAGUUAUUUCUGCG